GAAAGGUAACUGUUAUUAAAAAUAAAUCAUUCUGGUCCAGUCUUUCAGAAAUAAGGAAUUGAAGUAAGCACCAUUUGUGGUCUUAUUCAGUAACUUAAUUGAACUAACAUUAAAAUCUGUCUCCUGUUAGGGUAGAUAAUGCAUAGUUGAUGCUCCUACAGGAUGAGAAGCACAGCAUUGUCAUAUUAUUGGCAAAGAAGAAACUAUGCCUAUUGAUUCUGUGUUAUUUAGGCAACCACUUCAGUCAACUCAGGUAUCAAGGAUCAUGUUCUGCUUCUGCCCACCUUCCAUUGUUGCAGAAAAGCGAGAGGGAAAAACACCACAGAAGGGAGUAGCCAUUACAAGUGAAAUAUUAUCGAGGACAGUGGAACUCCCCCUGACUUCAGGAGGCUCUUUGGCAAGGCCUUUGCUGAAAAGGUUUCUCAUGGCUUAAUAGUUGAGCAGCUGAAACCCAUGUAAUAGGAGGAGUGUACCAAAGAACGAUUCCUCUAUAUCCAGGAGUAUUUCACACCUUCUCUGGCAGAAACCUUUUCACCAUUUUAGGACUCCUCCUUUUGAAAGCUGUUGGCAGGAACUGAGGCAAGCAUUCGUCUCUCUGAGCCUCAACUACCAUCCAUAAAGAAGAGGUACUACCUAACCCAUGAACUCCAAAUUCACAGGAGUAUCAAAUGGGUUUUAUGGUAAAUCAGAAAUCUCAUCUUCAAUGUAAGGAGAUCUUAUUUUUACCGAAAUUGACUAUUUUGACAAAACCACAGUCUUAUUAGUCCAGUUACUCAAAGUAGUAUUCAUGUUGAUUUCUCUGUUUGCUUCACUUUCCUACAUCCAACUAUUCUCCAAAUUCUGUUGAUUUUUCUUUUUAAAUAGUUUUUGAGUCCUCCCCCUUUCUUCCCAGGCACACUGGGAUGGAGUCUGUGCCCUCAUUAUGGGCCUUUUAGGUAACUGGCCUUUCUACUGCUAGUCCCCUCAGCUUCUAGUCUAUUCACUGCUACUCUGUGGCCAGAGUGAGUGACCUCUUCAGACAAGUCACGUUUCUCUCUUUAUGUUCCCCGUGGGUCUUCCACACUCACCAUAACAAAGCCUAAACUCCCUAAUCUGGCACACGUGGCCCUUUAUUUCCCUACUCCUUCCAUGUCCUUGGUACACCUUGCUCUGCUCAUCAUUCUCUCAAUCUCCAGACUCUUUUAUGACAUGGUGUCUUUCCUUAGGUUAUGCCAUUCACUGUCCUUGUUCACUUGCCAAACUCAGACUGCACCUCUUGGGGCCCAAUUAAGUGUUUCAUGGUAGGGCCUCUGGAGACACUGUGGAAAGAGAAACUUUUCUGCAGAUGGCACGUGUGUCUCCAGGUCUGGUGGUGGCAUUCUCUGAAACUAAGGAGUGAGCCACAGGGGACAAAAGGGCUCCCAAGAUGGAGGCAGGUGGCAGCCUUUAGUUAUAAAUACUCACAGGCCAAUACUGUGGUUUCUUCAGGUAAAGAUGCUCAGAUCUCAGAAGGACCUGAAAGAAGGAAGGGAGGGAACUGAUUGUGUAGAUUUAAAAUUUUUGCAAAAUCCUUGCCUGCCCUAUUCAACUAGAAACAUCAUCCUUUAUGCACACCUGAGACUCUGGGAGCAUGACAGGACUUCUGCUGUCUCUGUCUGCCCAGGCCCCCCAGCAGGUGCUUGAGUGUUACUCCCUCCCUUUCUUCCUCCUUUUCCUCCACUUCUGUAUCCGCCUCAUCCCCUGUAAUCAAUAAUUCUUAUGACAUUUUUAAAUUUACAAAACACUUGCAGGUACAUCAUUUCAUCUGCGUAACAACCUCGUGAAGUACAUUGAUCUUAUAUUAUAUCUCAGUUUUAGAGAUGAGUAAAUUGAGGCCCAGAGAAGUUCAAUUACUUGUUUAAAGUCAACAUAGUUAAUAGAUUAUAGAACUGGGAUUUAAACUAAGGCUUCAACUCUAAAUCUCAGAGUUGUGUUGUUUGUUUUUAUAAAGUGUUGU